AGCAGCCGCGGUAAUUCCAGCUCCAAUAGCGUAUAUUAAAGUUGUUGCAGUUAAAAGCUCGUAGUUGAAUUUCGGGAUCAGUUGGUCGGUCGCGCCUCGGUACGUACUGGUCAAAUUGAUUCCUACCUUCUGACGAACCACGAUGUCAUUAAUUUGGUGUCGCGGGAAAUCAGGACUGUUACUUUGAAAAAUUAGAGUGUUUAAAGCAGGCUCGCGCUUGAAUACAUUAGCAUGGAAUAAUGAAAUAGGACGUUUGAUUCUAUUUUGUUGGUUUCUAGGAUCGACGUAAUGAUUAAUAGGGAUAGUUGGGGGCAUUAGUAUUCAAUUGUCAGAGGUGAAAUUCUUGGAUUUAUUGAAGACUAACUACUGCGAAAGCAUUUGCCAAGGAUGUUUUCAUUAAUCAAGAACGAAGGUUAGGGGAUCGAAGACGAUCAGAUACCGUCGUAGUCUUAACCAUAAACUAUGCCGACUAGGGAUCGGAUGAUGUUUAAUUUUUUAAUGUACUCAUUCGGCGCCUUAA
rnacentral:misc_RNA from 1 species